GGCGGCGUGCCUAACACAUGCAAGUCGAGCGAGGAGAUCCUUCGGGAUGAUCCUAGCGGCGGACGGGUGAGUAACACGUGGGCAACCUGCCUCAUAGAGAGGAAUAGCCUUCCGAAAGGGAGAUUAAUACCUCAUAACAUUGCAGUUUCGCAUGGAACAGCAAUUAAAGGAGUAAUCCGCUAUGAGAUGGGGCCCGCGGCGCAUUAGCUAGUUGGUGAGGUAACGGCUCACCAAGGCGACGAUGCGUAGCCGACCUGAGAGGGUGAUCGGCCACAUUGGGACUGAGACACGGCCCAGACUCCUACGGGAGGCAGCAGUGGGGAAUAUUGCACAAUGGGGGGAAACCCUGAUGCAAGCAACGCCGCGUGAGUGAUGACGGCCUUCGGGUUGUAAAGCUCUGUCUUCAGGGACGAUAAUGACGGUACCUGAGGAGGAAGCCACGGCUAACUACGUGCCAGCAGCGGC
rnacentral:rRNA from 1 species